rnacentral:rRNA from 1 species
UGGGGAAUUUUGGACAAUGGGCGAAAGCCUGAUCCAGCAAUGCCGCGUGCAGGAUGAAGGCCUUCGGGUUGUAAACUGCUUUUGUACGGAACGAAAAAGCUUCUCCUAAUACGAGAGGCCCAUGACGGUACCG